UAAAAAACGAGAACACGCCAGUUAUGUACAAGUGACAAGAUUAUCCUGACUUUCGCUAGCUACUUUCUUUUAUUGUUUUGUAGAAUCUAAAGUGGUAAAAUGUAAUGUGAACAAGUAUUAUUACUAAAAAGAAGCUUUCAUCUCACAACCGAAGGCCCGAGUCAUUACUUUGAAGGUAGUUAUUCUAUAGUUAUCAACUUCAAGGUGGAUGUUGUUGCUAAUAACGAGGUAAAGACAGUUUCAAGUUGGAUAUUCGCGCUUUCAAACCACUUGAGCCACAGACACCAAAUAAUGGUCAUGCUGUUGGAAAAAUUGCGCACCAAUUUGCACAGGUCUUAUUUUCACGAUUUGGACAUUCAUUCACUUUCCAACGCUAAUAAACGUGGAAAUGUGAGCAGCAUUUUGUAUUCUUAGUUGAAUUAGUUAGGGAGCGUAAACAAAGUACAAACCUUUUUUUACAUUAGAAUUUCAAUAGCUCCUUGGUCAUGUGACCUACUUGAUUCAAAUAAGGUUCAGAAUGUCCACUGACUACCCUUCUAUAUUGCACACCCUUUAGGUUGUCAAUUUUCAUCUCACAAAAUUUUACAUUCAUUUUCCAAAAUGUAAAAUGUCAAUAGCUCCUUGGUCAUGUGACUUAAUGACUUCAAACAAGGUUCAGAAUGUCCACUGACUACCCUCCUAUAUUGCACACCCUAUAGUUUGUCCAUUUUCAUCUCACAUGGUUUUACAUUUUUUUAAAAUCAAUGUAUAAUUUCAAUAGCUCCUUGGUCAUGUGACCUACGGACUUCUAACAAGGUUCAGAAUGUCCAAUCUGUGGGCCUACACAUUGCACAUCCUUUAGUUUGUCCAUUUUCAUCUCACAAGAUUUUACAUUAAUAUUUCAAAAUGUAGAAUUUCAAUAGCUCCUUGGUCAUGUGACCUACUGACCUCAAACAAGGUUCAGAAUGUGUACUGACUAUACCUUUUAUAUUGCACAUUCUGAUGUUUGUCUACUUUCAUCUCAUGCUAUUAGACUGAAAUCUGCCAGCUUUGCAGGCCUUCAUUUUACAUGCGUGUAAAAAAACAAACAUUUUUUUAAGUUAACAAAUGUUCCAUACUCGCAAUAACUAUCUUUCACAUGGACACUGUAAAGAUCCGCAAAUGGCUGUAUGUGGUAUGGAUCAAGGACAAGAGAGGUGUUUGAACAGAGGUGCUUAAAGGAAGGCGCACAGUACCUGCAUGAACCAUCAGGCCAAGUGUUUUUGGUUGACCCUGCUGGACAGAAAGAGAAGGAGGAAUCGGAACACGCUGCAUUCAAAUUCAGGUGUUAGUUAUUCCAUUGUACUGGAUCUAAUACAUAUUAGCAUUUUACAUACAUUCAUAAGUGUAAUACGUUUUUAUGACAUACUGUGAAAAACUCUUUUGGCUGCUGGCUCUGUCACUUUAAGACAUGCGCAGAGCAGACUGAAAGGGGAAGGGUAGCUCUUGACUUGAACCACAGGUGUUCUCUGUAUAGAGAGAGUAAUCCAAAAGGCACCGACACACCCCUUGACUUUCAAUUGGCACCGUUGACCUGUAUGUAUUCUCUCCUGAUUGGCUCUGUGGUGCACAGUCUGGCAGUCUGACAAAAGUACCAGAGGUAUGAGGAGAGACAUCCUCCUUUUGUAUUUAUGUGAAAAAAUAUUUCCUAACUCUUUGGAUCCUGUUCUUGGACAGUUAGAAGACCCAAUGCAUCAAUGCAAAAAAAUAAUGAUUACUAAUUACUGUCCAUGAAUAACCUCAACCUUGUGGGUCUGUGGGUAUUUGGGCCAAUAAAGUGCAAACUCAAUUCUACCACUGACUAGUCUCUCAUGCCCCUAUGAAAAGGGACACAGGACAAUAGUUUUUAAUCUAAACCAGACCUUUUUUACUGGAGUACACUAACCCCUAAUUGGGGCUCUUUUCUUGACACACAGUAGCAGUUUACCAAAUAAGAAGUCAAAAAGAUCAAAAAGUAGAUCGUUGUAAGGGUGUAAUACAUCCUGUGCUGGUCACAUUGUCAUAUCCAUUCUGGAUUCUGGGUGGUAAAAUCAUAGCUGAAAAAUGCCUCUGUGUGUGUAUACAUUUUCCCCCAAGACAGAACUGCCAAAGGGGGUGGAGUUGCAAUCUACUGCAGAGUUCUGUCAUGCUAUCCAGGUCUGUGCCCUACUUUUAAAAAUCCACCUUUCCAGAAAUAAGUCUCUCACUGUUGCCGCUUGUUACAGACCCCCCUCAGCCCACAGCUGCGCCCUGGACACCAUAUGUGAAUGAAUUGCCCCCCAUUUAUCUUCAGAGUUUGUACUGUUAGGUGACCUAAACUGGGAUAUGCUUAACACCCCGGCCAUCCUACAAUCUAAGCUAGAUGCCCUCAAUCUCACCCAAAUUAUCAUGGAACCUACCAGGUACAACCCCAAAUCUGUACACUUGGGCACCCUCAUAGAUAUCAUCCUGACCAACCUGUCCUCUAAAUACACCUCUGCUGUUUUCAAAAUACAAAAAAAAUACACCUCUGCUGUCUUCCAGGAUCUCAUUGAUCACUGCCUCAUUGCCUGCGUCCCUAAUGGGUCCGCGGUCAAACGACCACCCCUCAUCGUCGUCAAACGGUCCCUAAAACACCAGCGAGCAGGCCUUUCUAACCGACCUGGCCUGGGUAUCCUGGAAAGAUAUUGACCUCAUUCUGUCAGUAGAGGAUGCCUGGUUAUUCUUUAAAAUUGCUUUCCUCACCAUCUUAAAUAAGCAUGCCCCAUUCAAACAAAUGUAGAACAAGGAACAGAUAUAGCCCUUAGUUCACUCCAGACCUGACUGCCCUUGACCAGCACAAAAACAUCCUGUGGCGUACCGCAUUAGCAUUGAAUAGCCACCGCUAUUCGAUGCUAGGGAUGUUAGGAACUUAUCAUCAGACUCAACAGCCUUUGUUUCUCAAAUGACUGCCUCGCCU
ensembl:lncRNA